rnacentral:rRNA from 1 species
UACAGAGGUGGCAAGCGUUGUUCGGAAUUACUGGGCGUAAAGGGCGCGUAGGCGGCCUUCUAAGUCAGACGUGAAAUCCCCCGGCUUAACCUGGGAACUGCGUCUGAUACUGGGAGGCUUGAGUAUGGGAGAGGGAUGUAGAAUUCCAGGUGUAGCGGUGAAAUGCGUAGAUAUCUGGAGGAAUACCGGUGGCGAAGGCGGCAUCCUGGACCAUAACUGACGCUGAGGCGCGAAAGCUAGGGGAGCAAAUGGG